UGGCUCUCCCAUCGAUGAAGAACGCAGCGAAAUGCGAUAAGUAAUGUGAAUUGCAGAAUUCAGUGAAUCAUCGAAUCUUUGAACGCACCUUGCGCCCUUUGGUAUUCCGAAGGGCAUGCCUGUUUGAGUGUCAUUAAAUUCUCAACCUUGUGAGAUUUUUUUCUUGCGAGGCUUGGAUGUGAGGGUUUUUGCUGGCUUCCUUCAGUUGGAUGGUCUGCUCCCUUCAAAUGCAUUAGUGGGAUCCUUUGUGGAUGGUCACUUGGUGUGAUAAUUAUCUACGCUGCCUGACUCUGAAACAAGACUUGUGGGCACCUGCUUAUAACUGUCUUCUUUGAAGACAAAAAUCUAUCUUGACAAUUUGACCUCAAAUCAGGUAGGACUACCCGCUGA
rnacentral:misc_RNA from 1 species